rnacentral:rRNA from 1 species
AGUGAACGCUGGCGGUAGGCCUAACACAUGCAAAUCGAACGGCAGCACAGUAAGAGCUUGCUCUUACGGGUGGCGAGUGGCGGACGGGUGAGGAAUACAUCGGAAUCUACUUUUUCGUGGGGGAUAACGUAGGGAAACUUACGCUAAUACCGCAUACGACCUACGGGUGAAAGCAGGGGAUCUUCGGACCUUGCGCGAUUGAAUGAGCCGAUGUCGGAUUAGCUAGUUGGCGGGGUAAAGGCCCACCAAGGCGACGAUCCGUAGCUGGUCUGAGAGGAUGAUCAGCCACACUGGAACUGAGACACGGUCCAGACUCCUACGGGAGGCAGCAGUGGGGAAUAUUGGACAAUGGGCGCAAGCCUGAUCCAGCCAUACCGCGUGGGUGAAGAAGGCCUUCGGGUUGUAAAGCCCUUUUGUUGGGAAAGAGAAGCAGCAGGUUAAUACCCCGCUGUUCUGACGUUACCCAAAGAAUAAGCACCGGCUAACUUCGUG